rnacentral:rRNA from 1 species
UGAACGCUGGCGGCGUGCCUAAUACAUGCAAGUCGAGCGAACGGACGAGAAGCUUGCUUCUCUGAUGUUAGCGGCGGACGGGUGAGUAACACGUGGAUAACCUACCUAUAGGACUGGGAUAACUUCGGGAAACCGGAGCUAAUACCGGAUAAUAUUUUGAACCGCAUGGUUCACAAGUGAAAGACGGUCUUGCUGUCACUUAUAGAUGGAUCCGCGCUGCAUUAGCUAGUUGGUAAGGUAACGGCUUACCAAGGCAACGAUGCAUAGCCGACCUGAGAGGGUGAUCGGCCACACUGGAACUGAGACACGGUCCAGACUCCUACGGGAGGCAGCAGUAGGGAAUCUUCCGCAAUGGGCGAAAGCCUGACGGAGCAACGCCGCGUGAGUGAUGAAGGUCUUCGGAUCGUAAAACUCUGUUAUUAGGGAAGAACAUAUGUGUAAGUAACUGUGCACAUCUUGACGGUACCUAAUCAGAAAGCCACGGCUAACUACGUGC